CAAAAUCUAAUUCAAACUACCAAGCACGAAAGGGGAAAGGAGGGCCUUGUUGUAAGUUAUAGAGCAUCUUAUGGAUCUAGGGCAGGAAUGGUGCCAGGCUCACAAGGAGGGAAACAGAGUCUGGAAAGUUGUGAGGGUCUCAUCUCUGCUUCUGACUCUAAAUGCCUUUUCUUUUCUAUCACGCUGCAGGCUGAUUCCUCUACUUCACAGGAACUCUUGGUAAAACUACAGAGUUGUGGUUCCAUCUACCUACAGAGAGUUCAUAUUCACUGAGGAUCUCUUUGGCCCAGCUUAAGCCAGCCAGAUUGGCUGGGCUCAGCUGGGUGGUUCUUCCCUGGGAUCUCCCAUGCCGUGGUGGUUAGCAGUCUUCAAGGAUGCAGUGAUCCGAAAGUUCAGUUGGCCUGGACAUCCAAGAUGGCCCACUCAACUGGCUGACAGUCAGAGGUGACUGUUCGCUGGGAGCUUUUUCAAAGGUGGACGCAUAUAUGAUCUUAAAGAAUUUGCAGAUCAGAUUGUGAGUGUCUGGCACAAUGAAUGAUUCAAGAAGGAGGAGAAGAAGAUGUUACAAUAUGG